rnacentral:rRNA from 1 species
UACGGGAGGGGGCUAGCGUUGUUCGGAAUUACUGGGCGUAAAGCGCACGUAGGCGGCUUUGUAAGUUAGAGGUGAAAGCCCAGAGCUCAACUCUGGAACUGCCUUUAAGACUGCAUCGCUUGAAUCAUGGAGAGGUCAGUGGAAUUCCGAGUGUAGAGGUGAAAUUCGUAGAUAUUCGGAAGAACACCAGUGGCGAAGGCGACUGACUGGACAUGUAUUGACGCUGAGGUGCGAAAGCGUGGGGAGCAAACAGG